rnacentral:rRNA from 1 species
CUACGGGCGGCAGCAGUGGGGAAUAUUGCACAAUGGGCGCGAGCCUGAUGCAGCAACGCCGCGUGAGGGAUGAAGGCCUUCGGGUUGUAAACCUCUUUUAGCAGGGAAGAAGCGAAAGUGACGGUACCUGCAGAAAAAGCACCGGCUAACUACGUGCCAGCAGCCGCGGUAAUACGUAGGGUGCAAGCGUUGUCCGGAAUUAUUGGGCGUAAAGAGCUCGUAGGCGGUUUGUCACGUCUGCUGUGAAAAUCCAAGGCUCAACCUUGGACUUGCAGUGGGUACGGGCAGGCUAGAGUGCGGUAGGGGAGAUGGGAAUUCCUGGUGUAGCGGUGGAAUGCGCAGAUAUCAGGAGGAACACCAAUGGCGAAGGCACAUCUCUGGGCCGUAACUGACGCUGAGGAGCGAAAGCGUGGGGAGCGAACAGGAUUAGAUACCCCCGUAGUC